rnacentral:piRNA from 1 species
UAGCCGAAUCCGAAAUUGCCCUCAAGUCCU